UAGGGAAUCUUCGGCAAUGGGGGGAACCCUGACCGAGCAACGCCGCGUGAGUGAAGAAGGUUUUCGGAACGUAAAGCUCUGUUGUUAAGGAAGAACGAGUGUGAGAAUGGAAAGUUCAUGCUGUGACGGUACUUAACCAGAAAGGGACGGCUAACUACGUGCCAGCAGCCGCGGUAAUACGUAGGUCCCGAGCGUUGUCCGGAUUUAUUGGGCGUAAAGCGAGCGCAGGCGGUUAGAAAAGUCUGAAGUGAAAGGCAGUGGCUCAACCAUUGUAGGCUUUGGAAACUGUUUAACUUGAGUGCAGAAGGGGAGAGUGGAAUUCCAUGUGUAGCGGUGAAAUGCGUAGAUAUAUGGAGGAACACCGGUGGCGAAAGCGGCUCUCUGGUCUGUAACUGACGCUGAGGCUCGAAAGCGUGGGGAGCGAACAGG
rnacentral:rRNA from 1 species